ACAGCUUGCCCUCUUAUCUAACAGGGCUGCCUUGAUCCCUGUAGUUCCUGAUCACCACCUCCCGUAGGGUGCUCCUGCAGCCACCUUCAUCGCUAACCACAGCCAGACUCUGCCUCCUCAAACCUCAGAGACAGGAAGAAGUGCACUCAUCGGAGAGGAUCAAUUACUCCCUCCCGAGCACCAGUCUGGAGAAAGCUCUGAGCAACAUUCAUCACUGGCUCUGAACUGUGCCUAAUAUUUCAGACUGUUUAGGAGCUCAUGCAAAUGGUUAUCUUUAAAGAUGUAUCAAAUUAGAGGAAAAACGGAUAAUACCCUGGAAUUAAAAUUCAUUUACCCUCAGUAAAAUUC